rnacentral:tRNA from 1 species
UGCAGUGUGGUGUAGUGGUUUGAGUGUUGGGCUAUGAUUCUGGAGACCAGGGUUAGAUUCCCAGCACAGCCA